AUUGAACGCUGGCGGCAUGCCUUACACAUGCAAGUCGAACGGCAGCACGGGAGCAAUCCUGGUGGCGAGUGGCGAACGGGUGAGUAAUAUAUCGGAACGUGCCCGGUCGUGGGGGAUAACGUAGCGAAAGCUACGCUAAUACCGCAUACGAUCUACGGAUGAAAGCGGGGGAUCGCAAGACCUCGCGCGAUUGGAGCGGCCGAUAUCAGAUUAGGUAGUUGGUGAGGUAAAGGCUCACCAAGCCGACGAUCUGUAGCUGGUCUGAGAGGACGACCAGCCACACUGGGACUGAGACACGGCCCAGACUCCUACGGGAGGCAGCAGUGGGGAAUUUUGGACAAUGGGCGC
rnacentral:rRNA from 1 species